CACCUGCCGUCUACUCUUGGACAGCCUUCUGAAAGGAAGAUUAAUACAAGAUGGCAUCAUGAGUCCGCAUGUUCACAUGAUUAAAGGUAUUCCGGUAGACGAUGGGGAUGCGUUCCAUUAGAUAGUAGGCGGGGUAACGGCCCACCUAGUCUUCGAUGGAUAGGGGUUCUGAGAGGAAGGUCCCCCACAUUGGAACUGAGACACGGUCCAA
rnacentral:rRNA from 1 species